rnacentral:tRNA from 1 species
GGGGUUGUGGUUCAGUGGUAGAGCACUCACCUAGCAUGUGUGAGGCCCUGGGUUCAAUCCUCAGCACCA